rnacentral:miRNA from 12 species
ACAGCAAAGUGAAAAGGUCUCC